CAGCCUAACACAUGCAAGUCGAGCGAGAAAAGGGGAGCAAUCCCCUGAGUACAGCGGCGCACGGGUGAGUAACACGUGGGUAAUCUGCCCUGGAGUGGGGAAUAACACCGGGAAACCGGUGCUAAUACCGCAUACGAUCACAGAGUCUGCGGAUUUUGUGAUGAAAGGAGCAAUUCGCUCUAGGAGGAGCCCGCGGCUGAUUAGCUAGUUGGUGAGGUAAUGGCUCACCAAGGCAACGAUCAGUAUCCGGUCUGAGAGGACGGUCGGACACACUGGAACUGAGACACGGUCCAGACUCCUACGGGAGGCAGCAGUGGGGAAUUUUUGGCAAUGGGGGCAACCCUGACCAAGCAACGCCGCGUGGGUGAUGAAGUCUCUUGGGACGUAAAACCCUUUCGACGGGGACGAAACCGCAAGGUUGACGGUACCCGUAGAAGAAGCCCCGGCUAACUCCGUGCCAGCAGCCGCGGUAAUACGGGGGGGGCAAGCGUUGUUCGGAAUUACUGGGCGUAAAGGGCGCGUAGGCGGUGCUCUAAGUCGGAUGUGAAAACUCUGGGCUCAAC
rnacentral:rRNA from 1 species